rnacentral:rRNA from 1 species
UACGGAGGGUGCAAGCGUUAUCCGGAUUCACUGGGCUUAAAGGGCGCGUAGGCGGGCAAGUAAGUCAGUGGUGAAAUCUCCGGGCUUAACCCGGAAACUGCCAUUGAUACUAUUUGUCUUGAAUACUGUGGAGGUCAGCGGAAUAUGUCAUGUAGCGGUGAAAUGCUUAGAUAUGACAUAGAACACCAAUUGCGAAGGCAGCUGGCUACACAAAUAUUGACACUGAGGCACGAAAGCGUGGGGAGCAAACAGG